GGGAUAAAUAAUAAGUGAGCAUUGUCUCUGCCCCUUCAGACUCAGAGCCUGGUGAGAACAUGGACACCUACUCUAUGAGGCAGAAGCUUCAUAAUAUAGACGUGAGUGAGUGGCUGCUGGGGCCCACGGGAUGUGGCCAUAGGACUAGGAGUACACUGUGGAGGGGCCCUCUGCUGACUAUCAGAAGGGGAAUGAAGCAGACAGGCUGUGCUGGCUCGGCAGGAAGAAUGCCCAGGCCAGCAGCUUCAGGCUAAUUAAGUGAAAAGUGAUGCGAUUGAUUUGUUUCCCUCUAGUUGAAUAGAACUUAGUCAGCACGGAAAACCAAUGAGUUUAAAAUUUCUCCACCUUGAGCCUGCAAGAUGAUUUCAGCAUCUUCCCUCAACCCUGAAUGCUGAUGUUGAAAUGUGAUGGCGUUUAAGUAUUUAAAAGUACAUCAUUGGAGCUGGGAUCUUCCAGAGGGCUGACUCAGAGAGAAGAAAGAUGAUGGCUCUUCGUAUUUAGAAUUCAACAUUUCAAGAGAAAAAGAGAGCUGUGGGAAAAGGGCCAAGGAGAGUUCUGAAAUCAUCUCCACCAGCUGUUAUAAAUCUAGGAACCACUGAAGAAUCUUCAUGGGGAACUUGACCACCCAGCCAGAGCAUCCUCACCUCUAAUGAAGACCAGUGGG